CCUACAACCAUUGUGGGUGUGCUCUGCCUUAUGUACUGUGAGUGGGAUAGGAUACGUGUUUGGUAUUGCGCUGCAGCCCGCUCAAGACAAAACCCAUUCUGCAUAUGAUUUCCGGAUCGGCAUUAAAAGACACACAAACUUUGCGCGCUGAUUUCUUGCUAGAACCGCACAAUUCUAGUUCCUUCGACUCCAUACUAGAGAUGUGAAGAGAGUGAAAGGAAAUCGGCUAUACAAAAAUUAAAAGCUGCGCAAUUGGUUCUGUCGUAUACUUGGAGUGAGUCCCCUCCGCUGCCGUAUGUCACUGCUAGUCCCUCCCAAAGUUCUCGAGCAGUUGGGUAUUGUGAUACCUCAUUCACGAGUUCGGGUUCCAUGUUGUUGAUGAUCCACCCGAACACGCAGUGAUCCAAUUUUUGCCAUGUUUCGUGGCUGGGAUCAGUUUCUGCGGGAGGUUCCGAACCCUUAUCGAUGUGGGAAGUUAAGCCUUUUCCCCCAAUCACCCGUUUGAUCAGGUUUGCCCACAGUGGAUAGUUGUCUCCCGAUAACUUGGUUGAGAUGACUAUUUCACCGAGGUUGUCUGCGCUCGCCGUCGUCGGUCGUGGGGUGAUUGGCAUGGUUUGGAGGCUUCGGAGGAACUCUGCAAAUUUCAUUAUGAUGUCGUCGGGGACAUAUACCACCGACUUCUUUUCUUCGUUGUCUGAUUCUGACAUCGUUUCUUUGUUCUGAUAAUUGCAGGAUUUCUACCUCUUGGCCUGGGUUUGAGAUUGGUAUUUUUGGGCGAUGAUGAUGUUAAAAUCUGAGUCCCUAUUACUUAACCUGCUCUGGUACCAUGUUUUAAUUGGGUAACCGAGAGGAAGAAGUAGGAGACAUUGGUGGAGAUCUUUUUUCUGUUGUAUUUCAUCAAUGGUGCAAUCCUCUUAAUAUAGAGGAUUACCCUAAUUACAUGUGAUAAAAUGUCAAACUUGGCUUACAAAUGUUUGAUGGAAACAAACAAGUUGACUGAGUCAAAUUUCACGGAUUGGCUCCGUUGUUUGCGCUUGGUGCUAAGGCAUGACAAGGUUGAGUAUGUCUUGGACAAACCCAUCGGUGUCAUCCCCAAUAAGGAAUCUCCUGAGUUUGCUACGUUUGACGUUGAAGCUCAUCAAAAAUACGUUGAUAAUGCAUCUGAUGCUCAAUGUGUCAUGCCGUCUUCUAUGAGUUUGGAACUCCAAAGACAACAUGAGCACAUGUUUCCAUAUGAAAUGCUUAAGCACUUGGAGAGUUUGUAUGCUUCACAAGCUCAAACUAUGGAGUAUGAGAUACUUUUGAGCAUGUGCUGAAAAUGAUUGGUUUGAUUGAGAGGUUAGCAUCGAUUGGAAUGUUGCUCCCUGCAAAUAUCUCAACAAAUCUAAUUCUUCAGUCUUUUACUAGCACUUUUAAGAAUUUCAUUGUGAAUUUCAACAUGAACAACAUGAAGGUUGGGCUGCCAGAAUUGCACAACAUGCUUAAGACUUAUGAGUCUUCCACUGCUAAAGUAAAAUAUGUGCUCAUGGUGAGCUCUUCUGCGAAGUCUUCCAAAUGGAAGAAUAAGCAACAACAGAAAAAGAAAGCAUCUAAGGAUGUUGUUCUAAAGUCUAAGAGUGGAGCCUAAGAGAAAGUCGAAAUUAUCAAAGGAUGAAUGUCUUUUCUAUCAUAAGAAGGGACAUUGGAAGAGAGACUGCCCAAAAUUCAAGGCACUAGGUGCAGAAAGUGGGAGCCUAGGGUUUAAGUGACUGCAGGAAAGUGAGGCAUGGGGAAGUUGAUUUGUGUGUUGGGAAGGAGCAAGAGUUGCUGCUGAAUGCGUGGGGACUUACAGAUUGGAUCUUCUCUCGGGAUAUAGACUAGAAUUGUUCAAUUGUUAUUUCGUUCCAGUUAUUUCUAAGAAUAUUAUUUCCAUUCCGAUGUUAGACAUUGAAGGUUUUUCCUUCCAUUUUGCAAACAACAGAUGCUUGAUUUCUUUUAAUGGAAUGUUUUAUGGGAAUGCCACUCUUGACAAUGGAUUAUAUAUGCUUGAAUACAAA